rnacentral:rRNA from 1 species
UGGGGAAUAUUGCACAAUGGGGGAAACCCUGAUGCAGCCAUGCCGCGUGUGUGAAGAAGGCCUUCGGGUUGUAAAGCACUUUCAGUGGUGAGGAAGGGUUGUAAGUUAAUACCUUGCAACAUUGACGUUAGCCACAGAAGAAGCACCGGCUAACUCCGUGCCAGCAGCCGCGGUAAUACGGAGGGUGCAAGCGUUAAUCGGAAUUACUGGGCGUAAAGCGUACGUAGGCGGCCUAUUAAGCAAGAUGUGAAAGCCCCGGGCUCAACCUGGGAAUGGCAUUUUGAACUGGUAGGCUCGAGUUCUGAAGAGGGUGGUAGAAUUUCCAGUGUAGCGGUGAAAUGCGUAGAGAUUGGAAGGAAUACCGGUGGCGAAGGCGGCCACCUGGUCAGAAACUGACGCUGAGGUACGAAAGCGUGGGGAGCAAACAGGAUUAGAUACCCCCGUAGUC